rnacentral:rRNA from 1 species
GGGGAAUAUUGCACAAUGGGGGAAACCCUGAUGCAGCGACGCCGCGUGGAGGAAGAAGGUCUUCGGAUUGUAAACUCCUGUUGUUGAGGAAGAUAAUGACGGUACUCAACAAGGAAGUGACGGCUAACUACGUGCCAGCAGCCGCGGUAAAACGUAGGUCACAAGCGUUGUCCGGAAUUACUGGGUGUAAAGGGAGCGCAGGCGGGAAGACAAGUUGGAAGUGAAAUCCAUGGGCUCAACCCAUGAACUGCUUUCAAAACUGUUUUUCUUGAGUAGUGCAGAGGUAGGCGGAAUUCCCGGUGUAGCGGUGGAAUGCGUAGAUAUAUGGAAGAACACCGGUGGCGAAGGCGGCCGUCUGGUCUGGAUUCUGACACUGAAGCACGAAAGCGUGGGGAGCAAAUAGGAUUAGAUACCCUAGUAGUCCACGCCGUAAACGAUGAGAACUAGGUGUUGGGGGAAUAACUCAGUGCCGCAGUUAACACAAUAAGUAAUCCACCUGGGGAGUACGACCGCAAGGUUGAAACUCAAAGGAAUUGACGGGGGCCCGCACAAGCAGUGGAGUAUGUGGUUUAAUUCGACGCAACGCGAAGAACCUUACCAAGUCUUGACAUCCAUCGACGACUAUAGAAAUAUAGUUUUCCUUCGGGACGGUGAGACAGGUGGUGCAUGGUUGUCGUCAGCUCGUGUCGUGAGAUGUUGGGUUAAGUCCCGCAACGAGCGCAACCCUUAUGGUCAGUUACUACGCAAGAGGACUCUGGCCAGACUGCCGUUGACAAAACGGAGGAAGGUGGGGAUGACGUCAAAUCAUCAUGCCCUUUAUGACUUGGGCUACACACGUACUACAAUGGCGUUAAACAAAGAGAAGCAAGACCGCGAGGUGGAGCAAAACUCAGAAACAACGUCCCAGUUCGGACUGCAGACUGCAACUCGACUACAUGAAGCUGGAAUCGCUAGUAAUCGCAGAUCAGAAUGCUGCGGUGAAUACGUUCCCG